rnacentral:lncRNA from 1 species
UUUAAUUUAUUUAAAUUUUAUUAUUGUUUCCGAGUGAGAGGUUGGGCCUUUUCCGUCUCUUUUCGGAAUGAUAGGCGCUGCCUUUCCCGACUGAUUGUUAUGGUAGGCUAUGCCUUCACGAUCAGAAGAACAUGUGGUAGACUUUGCCUCCGUGAAUAAAAGAAAAAUGUCAAAAUAGCAGAUUAAGUCUCCUCGGACCUUGAAUAAAAGAAAAGAUCAAUAUGGUAGACUUUGUCUCCUUAGAUCUUGAAAAAAAAAGAUAAAAGGUUAAUAUAGAAGACUAUGUCUCCUCGAAACCUUGAUAAAAAUGAUCAAUAUGGUAUUCUAAGACUCC